UGGGUAACCUGCCCUCAACUCUGGGAUAAGCCUGGGAAACUGGGUCUAAUACCGGAUAUGACUCCUCAUCGCAUGGUGGGGGGUGGAAAGCUUUUUGUGGUUUUGGAUGGACUCGUGGCCUAUCAGCUUGUUGGUGAGGUAAUGGCUCACCAAGGCGACGACGGGUAGCCGGCCUGAGAGGGUGACCGGCCACACUGGGACUGAGACACGGCCCAGACUCCGUACGGGGAGGCAG
rnacentral:rRNA from 1 species